GAUGAACGCUAGCGGCAGGCUUAAUACAUGCAAGUCGAGGGACAGCACAGGUAGCAAUACUGGGUGGUAACCGGCAAACGGGUGCGGAACACGUACACAACCUUCCUUUAAGUGGGGGAUAGCCCAGAGAAAUUUGGAUUAAUACCCCGUAAUAUAGUUGAAUGGCAUCAUUUGAUUAUUAUAGCUACGGCGCUUAAUGAUGGGUGUGCGGCUGAUUAGAUAGUUGGCGGGGUAACGGCCCACCAAGUCUACGAUCAGUAGCUGAUGUGAGAGCAUGAUCAGCCACACGGGCACUGAGACACGGGCUCGACUCCUACGGGAGGCAGCAGUAAGGAAUAUUGGUCAAUGGACGCAAGUCUGACCCAGCCAUGCCGCGUGAAGGAUUAAGGUCCUCUGGACUGUAAACUUCUUUUAUUUGGGACGAAAAAGGGCCUUUCUAGGUCAACUGACGGUACCAGAUGAAUAAGCACCGGCUAACUCCGUGCCAGCCGCCGCAGUAAUAC
rnacentral:rRNA from 1 species